CUAAUUGAUAUUUACACAACCAUUUGAUAGGUUUGCUAGCUUUAUAGGUGGUGUAAAUAGAACAAUUUUCUAUUUGCACCACAUUCAUUAAAGUUAGUCAAACAUUAUGUUUUUAUUUAAAAUAUUUA